GUGGCACAGUGGUUAAGCAUUGGGCUGCUAACCCAAAGGCAGGUGGUCUGAUUCCACUC
rnacentral:tRNA from 1 species